UACGUAGGUCCCGAGCGUUGUCCGGAUUUAUUGGGCGUAAAGCGAGCGCAGGUGGUUUAUUAAGUCUGGUGUAAAAGGCAGUGGCUCAACCAUUGUAUGCAUUGGAAACUGGUAGACUUGAGUGCAGGAGAGGAGAGUGGAAUUCCAUGUGUAGCGGUGAAAUGCGUAGAUAUAUGGAGGAACACCGGUGGCGAAAGCGGCUCUCUGGCCUACAACUGACACUGAGGCUCGAAAGCGUGGGGAGCAAACAGG
rnacentral:rRNA from 1 species